rnacentral:lncRNA from 1 species
AGAGUUUGAAUUAUUAUUUAAACAGGAUUAUAAUAGUCAAUUUAUAAUAAUAAACUUAUAUGUUAACCAUUUGUUAAAAAAAUAAUAAUAAGAAUUUUGAGACUGCUAAAAAUGAAAGGAUGGAUAAAGUGAGACAGGAGAAUAUUUGGUAGGUUAUAGUAGGUUUGGUUAAGGUUGUAGCCUCCCAAUAUAAAAAAAUCCUUUAAUUCAGCCUUUUUCCGUUCCUUUUCUCAACUUCUGCUCACAAACCUGUUCAAAAUUAAAUUCAAAUUAAAAUUAAAUAUUUAUCUCAAAAUUAUAAUAAAAUUAUGAAAUUAAAUGGGAAUAAAAUUGUGAGUUUUACAACUCAUCACAAAGCUUAGAGACUAAAGAUGUCUUAGUAAUUAGGAAGAUGCAAAAGGGUCUAUACAAGUUUAAAUGAUAAAUUCAAGGCGAUGGGGAGAUAAGAUAGAUUUUGCCACCUAAACAAGGAUAAGAUCAGCUUUAAGUAGAGUCAAAUUGAAUCAAACUCAAUCAGAUGAGGAUAAAGAUAAGAUUAAGAUAGAGAUAAGAUAGGAAUAAUAGAUUUUAUUUUAAAUUUUAUCUUUUUGUGCCUAUAAAGGCUCCUCGCAUUAAACCUAGGAUCAUAUUCUACCUCUCACUCUCAUUUCCUCUCUUACUGCCCCAUCUUCUUCUCCAUCUUAUUUUCUUUUUCUUCUUCUCCAUCUUAUUUUCUUUUUCUUCUUCUUUUGCUUAGUUUUUAUAAUUUUAUUAUGGCCAUGAGUGACUAAAUAAUUAUUUUUCAGUUGAAGGUUAAAUUAAAUUGAGGUUUGUUCAAGUUGUGAGGUUAUGCUUUAAUUCUCUUCAUCUUAUUUCUAUUUUCUAUUAAUUUCUGAAUUCGAGGAACACCACCUCCAUUGUUGUUUUUUUGAGAAUUCAAGGGGCCCAUUGAAUCUCUUGGGAAGACAACAUAUUGCUAAUUAAUCUAAUUAAAUCCGUAAUUGUUUAAUUGGGUUAAUAACAAGUAGUAAUUAAUAUAUUAGUUUAUAUUAAGAAAUUAGUAGAUUUGAUUUUAAAAAAACGCGUGUUUUUAUUGAUCAAGUGUGGUUUCUUCUCUCUUAAUGCAGUUAACUAAUUAAAUCUACACGCGUGUUGGGGUUGUUAGUUAACUAGAAAUUAAUUUAAGCGCGAAGCGGAUUAAUUUAUUCAUAAGGAAGAAUUGGUGGGAUUCGCAUGUUUGAUCACUAUAACCAAACAAUAGAUAAUAAUAUGAAAUACUUUUUUUCUAACCAAUGAUCAACUGCAAAAUACCUCAAUUUGAUUACCUUCAGCUGAAAGUUUUAGUUAAUUAUUUAUUUCUUCAAUUUCAAUUGCAUUAUUUAUUAUUUCUCUUUUAAGUUUAUUUUUUUUGCUUACCCAAGGCAGAAUCAUUUUCAUCAAAAGAUUCUCUUCUUCUCACUUUUUGUAUUAACUAUUCUUCUAUUUCAAAUUGGUCAUCUAAAUUAAAUAGGAUUAAGAUCUCUGUGGGAUUGAUACUCGCUUACCCUAUCUACAAGUUCUUAUCAAUCAAGAAAAGGGAAGUAAAUUUUAAAUUGAUAGAUUCGACACCCGUCAAAUUUUGGCGCCGUAGUCGGGGAUCUCUAACAAUUUGUUUUUAUUUUUAUGACCAGAUCUAAGAAUAACAAGAUUCAGUUUGAUCCAGAAAUCGAGAAGACUGCAAAAAGGUUGAGGAAAGCAACUAAGUUGCAAAAACAAGCCAAUUCGGGAGUAGUUAUGAUUCAUAUGUUACCAAAAUUCCAAGGCUUGGAGAAUGAAGACCCUCAUCGUCAUCUAAAGGAGUUUUAUGUGGUUUGUUCAAGUAUGAUACCACAAGGUAUAACUGACAAACAAAUAAGGUUGGUAGCUUUUCCUUUCACUUUAAUUGAAUCUGCUAAGGAUUGGCUCUACUAUUUGUCCCCAAGUUCAAUCACCACUUAGGUGCAAAUUAGAGACUUAUUCUUAGAAAGAUUUUUUCCACUGACCAGAGCAUCAUCAAUAAGAAAGGAAAUAAGUGGAAUUAAACAAAGAAAAAAUGAAACUUUACAUGAAUAUUGGAAAAGGUAUAAGAAAUUAAUUGCAAGUUGUCCAAAAUAUGGAAUCACUCCAAAACAGCUUAACCUUCACUUCUACGAAGGACUUUUGCCAUUAGAACGAAGGAUGAUUGAUGCUGCUAGUGGAGGUGCCAUUUCAUAAAUGGAACCUAAAGAAGGUAAAACCUUAAUCUCUAAAAUGGCCGCCAAUUCUAGACAAUAUGGCCAAGAAGAGGACAUUCUAAGAAAUGCCAAUGAAGUAAGUUGUAAUACCCGACUAGACCUCGGUAUCGAAAUUCCUACCUUCCGGCGGAAUCUCGGAUGUCGGAACCCUCUAGAUGGGUAAAAUAUGUUUUUCUAAAAUAUUUUCAUGUGUUUAAUGUUUUAUAGAAGAGGAAAAAUUGAGUUUUAAAAGAAAAAGCAAAGAAAAGUAAAGUGAAGGAAAAACCCAGGUUCGGCCACCGAACAUGGGAUGCAUGUGGAGGCACGUUAGGCCCCCGAAAGUGGUCUGGCCAGCCACCUAUAAAGGGGUUCCCUGUCCAAAAUGGGCGAGUUUUCUCUCCCCAUUUUUGGCCAAGGUGAGUCUCCGCCAUUCCCUUGUAGAUCCUGUGUUCUUCCUUCGAGUUUUUCAUGAUUUUUAUGAGUUUCCAUCUUGUUUUGAAGAUUUUUAAGCUAAAGAGCAAGUUUUGAAGCUUGGAGACCCCGGAGCUCGUCUUCUCCACAACUCCGAGUUCGGAUCGUCUCUCCUCUCGAUCUUCAAGAGGUAAGAGUAGAUCCUCACCUCCUGUGAUGUUUUAAGUAAGUUUUGAGGGGUUUUAAGGGGGUUUAAUGCAUGUAUAAAGUAGAUGCAAAAUGUUAAGGUUUAUGUUAGUUAUUGCUCAAAUGUAUGCUUUGAUGAUGUGUUGUUGGGGUUUAGGCUAGUUUGAAGCCCCUAUAUGUUUGAGAAUGUGUUUAUGCAUGUUUUUGCAUGAGUUGGUUUGAGUUUGGAAGUUGGGAGCCAAAUGUGCAUGAGGGAGGCUUGAGUUCUGCCAUUUUGAAAGAACUCAGGUUCAGCAGCCGAAGCCAUGUUCGACCGCCGAACCUGCCUGUGGAGGCAUGUUUUGGCUGCCGAACCCUGCCCCCGAAAGUUGGACUUUCGGCUCUGGAGGAGAGUUUCGGCCGCCGAAGGUGCCGCCAAACAUGCAUGAGUUUCGGAUCUAGAAGGAACCUUCGUGAUACGGAUCCAAUAGGGCAAAUUUCUAACAAUGGUGUGGAGCAAACUUAUGUCAUUCAAAUGGAUCUAAAAGGAGUUCAAAAUCAUAUUCAUAUGAUCCAUAUAUAUUUGGGGCGUGCUUCAACUCAUAUGGAACAGAUUUGAUGCAACAAUUGCAAUCAUAGGUUUAGGGAGCCUAAUCAAACUUAUGGGCUAAAACUACACAAAGGGAUCCGUAUCACGAAGGUUCCUUCUAGAUCCGAAACUCAUGCAUGUUCGGCGGCACCUUCGGCGGCCGAAACUCCCCUCCAGAGCCGAAAGUCCAACUUUCGGGGGCAGGGUUCGGCAGCCAAAACAUGCCUCCACAGGCAUGUUCGGCCGCUGAACCUGCCUGUGGAGGCAUGUUUUGGCUGCCGAACCCUGCCCCCGAAAGUUGGACUUUCGGCUCUGGAGGGGAGUUUCGGCCGCCGAAGGUGCCGCCGAACAUGCAUGAGUUUCGGAUCUAGAAGGAACCUUCGUGAUACGGAUCCAAUAGGGCAAAUUUCUAACAAUGGUGUGGAGCAAACUUAUGUCAUUCAAAUGGAUCUAAAAGGAGUUCAAAAUCAUAUUCAUAUGAUCUAUAUAUAUUUGGGGCGUGCUUCAACUCAUAUGGGACAGAUUUGGUGCAACAAUUGCAAUCAUAGGCUUAGGGAGCCUAAUCAAACUUAUGGGCUAAAACUACACAAAGGGAAGCCUAAAGUGAAGAUCAAGUAAGGCUUUUGUGAAGAAUCAGCUUUGUUAUGAUGGGCUUGCUAUAUUUUUAUUAUUUAACACUUGUUUUAUUUUAGUUUUGUUUGGGCUUGUAUUUUGGUCAUACUUUAUCUUUUAAGUUUUAGAGUGUUGGGCCAUGUUUUGGGGUUAUGUUUUACUACUUAUGUGUUAUUUUAGUGUGUGAUUGGGCUUAGGCCUUAUGUGUUUAAGUCAGACCCAAGAAGAGUGUCUUAGGGUUUUUUUUGUUUUCUCCUUACUAUAUAAGGAUUAGAAACACUUGUAAGAGGCAGCUUUUAAUCAAAAUUUACAGAAUUCAUUUCAUGCCUUUGGCGUGUAUUGCUUUGAGUGAGAGUGAGGAUUUGCUUUCAUCAAUUGCACUAGGAAUCUUGGCUAACUUAUCAACUAUUCAUUGUGGCGUUUGUCAGAUUCUCAUCUAAAUUCUUCGAUCAUUGGUGUUUCAGCUUCUCUAAGUGUGGGGUGCCAUAGGAGGUGGGUUUAUCAAAUCUUUGGAUUCCAUAUCUACUUAUGCGUGUGGGUUUGAGGCUUGUGCCAUAGGGUUUCGCAUCAGUUGGUAUCAGAGCCAAAGUGAGGUAAAUUCUUAUUUAUCUUAGGAUCUAGGGUUUUUGAGUUUUCUUUUUCUUCCUUGUUAUUUUCGGUAAAAGCUUGUGUGACCAUGGUUGCACAUUCUUGAUUACUGAUCAUCACAAAAAAAAAAAAAAAAAAAUUGAAAUCCUAAAAAAAAAAAAAUCAAAAACGCCUUUGCCUUAUUUAUCUUGAUCUAGCCGAAAUUGUGAUAUGCUUCCUUUUUCGUCCAUAUUGCCUUACUUAUCUCAAUUGAUUGCUGUUAUUUGUGGGAAUCAAUUUUAAAUUUUGAAUUUUGAAUUGCAUUGAAUCCAGAUUAGGGGAUAAAAGCAAUUCUGUCUAUUUCCUAACGUGCACAUUUAAGGCAAUUGCAUCUAAAUUGAUUUGAUGUCAAAUACUUCUUUUAACACCAGAAUUUUCGUCCAUGUUUCUAAACUGAGUGGAAUUUAAUUUUUUUUUAUUCUAUUUGUGGGGUUUUGAUACUUGCCUUUUUUGGUAGAUUUAAACAGAUUCAUAUUUAAUUUGCGUUGAAGUGAAUUAAAUUCAAACUUCUGUCCAGAUUCGUUUUUAUUUGAAUUCUAAGUUUCCUUUUUUUUUUUUGUUUAAGCUUACUUUUUCUUCCUUGACAUUGCUGGAGUAUUGUUUGCUGGUGUCUAUACUCUAGGUGAUAUUUUUCAAGUAGCACAACACCUAGUUCUUGUGUUACUUUCCAAAUUGUCAGUGUCUUCUUUCUAGUUUUUGCGUGUUUCCUUCUUUCUUUAGGUUUUCUUCUUUGUUUCAUUAAACGCACCUUGUGGUUGGUUGGUUGACCUUAGUUUCUGAAGUGCAAUUGAAGAACCAGCAAAAGAGUGGUAAGAGUGCAAACACUUGACUGCUUUCUUUUCUGAUACAAUAUUUGCUAGUUCUGUUUGUUCCUUGUUGAUUUAAGGUAGGAUUAGUAAAGACAAGAAUGUGGUGGAUCGUACUGAUGAAAGUGAAUCGAACAUGGGUAACGAUUACAAGCUCUUUAAGAAGUCAGUCAGUGGUGAGUUACAAAGGCUCAAUAAGACUCUUGAGAGGUUGACUAAAACUAUAGAGAGUUUGAAUGCCUCACAAGCUUCCACUUCUACAAGAAUACCUCAAAGAACUCUUAAUUGCAAUAAUGACUGUGAUAAUUUGGAUGUGUUGGUUAAUAAUGUGCUGCUUGCUGCACAUUGUGAGAUGCUUGUUGCUAGGCGUGCUCUGAAUAUGCAGGUUAAGGAAGAAAGCCUAGAACAACGGGAAAAUAUAUUUCACACUAGGUGUUUGGUUAAUGGAAAAGUGUGUACUCUCAUUAUUGAUGGAGGUAGUUGCACAAAUGUGGCUAGUGUGUAUAUGGUGGAGAAAUUGGGCUUGGCUUCUAUUAAACACCCUAAGCCAUACAGAUUGCAAUAAUUGAAUGAUUGUGGUGAGGUUAGGGUUACACGGCAGGUGGCUAUACCAUUUUCUAUUGGUAGGUAUAAGGAUGAGAUAUUGUGUGAUGUGGUACCUAUGCAGGCAAGCCAUAUGUUGUUGGGUAGACCGUGGCAACAUGAUAGAAAGGUGCAACAUGAUGGGUUCAAUAACAAGUACUCCUUCACUCAUGAAGGACAGAAGGUUAUACUCGCUCCUUUAUCACCUCAUGAGGUAUAUGUUGAUCAAAUAAAGAUGCUGGAGAGGGAGAGUGAGGCUUCGGCCUUGGCCACAAAAAGGAGUGAGAGCUUGAAUUCUGCGGAAAAGAUGAGAGAAAAGAGUGAGUUUGAGGGUAAAGAGACUGGAAAAGAAUCAAGACUAGUUCAAGAAGGGAAAGUGGAGAAAGAAAAGGAGAAAGAAGAGGCUAAAGUUCCAAUCUCAACUUCCAUAGAGGUUGAAAUUGAAGAGGAAGUUGUAAUGCAUGAAUCUAAUGUAGUAGUUGUUGAGAAUUCCAUCAAUGAACUUAUAGAAGAGGUUGUGAAUAAUGAAGGACAUGGGGAGCACAUGAUUGGUGAAGUGGAGGAGGCGAAUGAGAUUGUUUUGGAAGUUGUAGAGGAGAAUGGGUCACAUCCACAUGAUCUUUCUACGACUAAUAUUUUUAUGUCUAGUUCAUUUGUUCUUGAUGUGCAGGUUGUUGAUGAAAACAUUUAUGACGAAAGUUUUAUCCUAUUUCCACCUAUUCAAAAGGAGGUUUUUGAAGAUACAUGGGUCCCUAUAGCUUCCCUUUUUGACAUAAAUAUCAGUAAGAUUCGAGGACGAAUCUUUUCUAAAGAAGGCGAGAAUGAUACGGAUCCAAUAGGACAAAUUUCUAACAAUGGUGUGGAGCAAACUUAUGUCAUUCAAAUGGAUCUAAAAGGAGUUCAAAAUCAUAUUCAUAUGAUCCAUAUAUAUUUGGGGCGUGCUUCAACUCAUAUAGGACAGAUUUGGUGCAACAAUUGCAAUCAUAUUCUUAGGGAGCCUAAUCAAACUUAUGGGCUAAAACUACACAAAGGGAAGCCUAAAGUGAAGAUCAAGUAAGGCUUUUGUGAAGAAUCAGCUUUGUUAUGAUGGGCUUGCUAUAUUUUUAUUAUUUAACUCUUGUUUUAUUUUAGUUUUGUUUAGGCUUGUAUUCUGGUCAUACUUUAUCUUUUAAGUUUUAGAGUGUUGGGCCAUGUUUUGGGGUUAUGUUUUACUACUUAUGUGUUAUUUUAGUGUGUAAUUGAGCUUAGGUCUUAUGUGUUUAAGUCAGGCCCAAGAAGAGUGUCUUAGGGUUUUUUUUGUUUUCUCCUUACUAUAUAAAGAUUAGAAACACUUGUAAGAGGCAGCUUUUAAUCAAAAUUUACAUAAUUCCUUUCAUGCCUUUGGCGUGUAUUGCUUUGAGUGAGAGUGAGGAUUUGCUUUCAUCAAUUGCACCAGGAAUCUUGGCUAACUUAUCAACUAUUCGUUGUGGCGUUUGUCAGAUUCUCAUCUAAAUCCUUCGAUCAUUGGUGUUUCAGCUUCUCUAAGUGUGGGGUGUCAUAGGAGGUGGGUUUAUCAAAUCUUUGGAUUCCAUAUCUACUUGUGCGUGUGGGUUUGAGGCUUGUGCGUGUGGGUUUGAGGCUUGUGCCAUAGGGUUCCGCGUCACUUCGGCCGCUGAAGGUGCAUGACUUUCGGCUCUGGAGGGACUUUCGGCCUCCGAAUCUACCGCCGAAAGUGCCCUGCCCAGCCUUCCUUUGCAUGCUUUCUAAGAAUGUUUCAUGAUGUUUUAGGGGGUUUUUGGGGAGAUGUUUAGAGUCAUGAUAGAGUAUGUUUGGUCCCUCAUUUGAGUCCACCUGUGUAGGUUCGGACCAGAGGAACCGAGGAGGUCAGCAGUGAACUAGUUGCUAUAGAGUCGAUAAAGCGUCAGCCAGAGGUGAGUAGAACUGAACCUUAUGUUUUAAAGUAAAGGAACUUUUGAGCAUGAUCCAUGCAUCAUUAAUGCCAUGAUAUGUAUUAGGUUGUUUUGCAUUAGAAUUCACGAAUAUGUUGCAUUGCGUAAUGUGAUGUUGAUGUGGAUGGAUAUUGAAUGAUCCACUAGCCCUCAUGAUGAUAUGAUAUGAUAUGAUAUGAUAUGAUAUGAUAUGAUAUGAUAUGAUACGGAAGUCUAGGUCGAGGCCCAUUCUACGCCCCUGGCACAUUGGAAUGUUAUGUUAUGUUAUGCUUAAGAGGAAGUUCUGAGGAGCUCCGUCGAGGGCCGGGCAUUAUUAGAUAUGUAGGGGGCUUUUGGUGACAAUACCAUCUUAAGAUGAUUACUUGUGUUGUGAUGCAUUUCAUGUUGGCAUAUAAUAUUUAAAUGUUUUAUUGUUCUGCUCACUGGGCUUUUUAGCUCACCCAUUUCCCCUAACCCCAGGUUUGCAGGUUCAGAAUAGAUCGGGCGGUCUUCAAGGGUAAAAGUUAUGUACAUGUAAUAGUUAGAUGGUUAUGGACAUGUAUUGUAAAACGAUAUUAAUGUAAUGUAAUGUUGUCCAGUAAUGUAAUGUAUUGAGUAUUAGUUGUGCUUGGCCCUAACGUUUAUGUUAAUCCCUUGUUGUACAUGACCUUAAUAAAUGUUUUAAUGAUGUUCUUAUGGAUAUGUACCCAGCUUGACAUAUGUUAUGUUGACCCACUAGAGCAUUUGAUGAGGGCUCUAGUAGGAGUUUUAUGUUUACAUGGAUAGUGCAUGCACAGGUCAAGCUAGGGGUACGAAAAGUUUAAAUUUUUAUGUAAAUGUAUGAUCAUGUAUGGGAUUGUAUCAGGCACACAGGUUGUAUGUUAGGCUUGCUACGGGUCCCGGCGACCUUAAGUCGAUCUGGAUCCUAGCGCCGGUAACGAUCCGAUUUUCGGGUCGUUAUAUAAGUAUUGCAUCUUUAGAUUCUAAAAUUUCACAACUAACAGCUGCAAUUCAAUAAUUGGCUGCAGGGAAUAAUGCACGAACUUGUGGCAUUUGCAAACAAGCAGAUCACCCCCACAGAUAUGUGUCCUAUCCUUCAAGAAGGAGAGCAACAGGCAAAUGCCAUUGGAGGGUUCAAUGGAAAACAAUUCAAUGGACAACAAAGGAAGUAUGACCCAUUUUCAAGCACUUACAAUCCAGGGUGGGGAGAUCAUCUAAACCUUAGCUAUGGGAAUAGACAGCAGAACUACCAACCAAGAACCAACUAUCAAGCUGCAAAAUCAGGUAUGUCUCUAGAAGACAUUGUUCAAUCCCUUGCUAAUAGCACUCUUGCUUUUCAACAGGAAACAAAGUCAAGCAUCCAGAAUUUGGAGAAUUAAAUGAGCCAACUUGCUACAUCAGUAAGCAAGCUAGAAUCACAAGGGAAAUUGCCCUCCCAAACCGUGCCAAAUCCAAAACAGAACGCAAGCGCAAUUACGCUGCGAAGUGGGAAGGAGUUGGAGUCUGCCAGUCCGAAGAGGCUUGCCCAAGGUAGUAUGACAGACCAGAAGGUAGAAGCAAAAAUAAAGAUUCCAGAAGAGAAACAACCCCAGGAAUCUGAGAAAGAACAAACUCCAAUGCAAGUAAUUCAUCCACCUUUUCCCGAAAGACUUGCAUAAAAAAAGAGGGAAAAGGAAGAGAAAGAGAUCUUAGAGAUCUUUCGCAAAGUCCAGGUAAACAUACCCCUUAUUGAGACCAUAAAGCAAAUACCCAAGUACGCGAAAUUUCUAAAAGACCUUUGCACUAAUAAAAGAAAAUUGUACGGGCACGAAAAGAUUAAAGUAGUGGAGAAUGUGUCAGCUGUACUCCAAAGAAAAAUUGCACAAAAAUGUAAAGACAAAGGCAUGUUUGCUAUAUCAUGUAAAGUAGGAAAUCUUGAAGUAAAAAAGGCAAUGUGUGACUUAGGAGCUUCCAUAAAUGUUAUGCCUCUAUUAGUUUAUUUGUCUUUGGAUGCAGGUCCGUUAAAACAAACAUGAAUCACACUCCAACUUGCCAAUAGAUCAAUAGUCUAUCCUAAGGGUGUAUUAGAAGAUGUUUUGGUCCAAGUGGAAAAAAUAAUCUUCCCAGCCGACUUCUUCGUCCUAGACAUGGAGGACGAUAAUUCAUCCAACUCUACAGAUUUAUUGCUAGGAAGACCAUUCCUUAGCACAGCCAGAACGAAGAUUGAUGUGCAUGAAGGCACGCUCACAAUAGAGUUUGAUGGAGAAGAGGUAAAGUUUAAUGUCUAUGAUGCAAUGAAGUAUCCUGAUAAAAAAUUUUAUGUUUGCAGCAUAGAUGUAAUCAAACCUCUCGCUCAAGAAGCAUUUGAACUAAGCAAGGAAGACAAGUUGGAGGUAGUUCUAACCGAAAACUUGACAUUAGAUUACCUUGACGAGUGCACAACCUAGUUUGAUGAAGAGAUCAUAGAGACCAUCCACUCAUUGGAUACACCAGACCAGAAGGUAAGUACCUCUAAUUUACUUUCAAUACCCAAGUCUCACCACAAACUUCUCCCUUCAAUUCUUCAGGCACCGGAGAUUGAGCUAAAGGCUCUUCCCACACACUUGAAGUAUGUCUUCCUGGGGAAAGAAAACACCCUUCCGGUCAUAGUCUCUAAUAAACUGAGUAAAGGUGAGGAAGAUAAGUUUGUUCAGGUAUUGAAGGAGUAUAAGGAAGCAGUUGGGUAGACAAUCGCAGAUCUUAAGGGGUUAAGCCUCUCUACGUGCAUGCACAAGAUCCUCCUUGAAGAAAAUAGUAAGCCAAAAAGGGAAACACAAAGAAGAUUGAACUCACCUAUGAUGGAAGUUGUAAAAAAGGAUAUACUAAAAUUGCUUGAUGCAGGAAUAAUAUAUCCAAUUUCAGACAGUAGAUGGGUAAGUCCAGUCCAAGUCGUGCCAAAGAAAACAGGAAUAACAGUAAGAACCAACUCAGAAGGAGAAUCAGUUCUCACUUGUGUUCAAAACGGGUGGAGGGUUUGUAUAGACUAUCGCAAGUUGAAUUCAGUAACUAGGUAUCGAUCAAAUGUUAGAAAGAUUGGCAGGAAAAUCUCAUUUUUGUUGUUUGGAUGGCUUUUCAGGGUUUUACCAGAUACCAAUGGCCCUAGAAGACCAAGAGAAGAUGACUUUCACAUGUCCAUUCGGCACCUUUGCCUACAGAAGGAUGCCUUUUGGGCUUUGCAAUGCACCAGUAACCUUCCAGAGAUGUAUGGUCAGUAUAUUUUCAGAAUUUGUUGAGAAGAUAAUCGAGUUAUUCAUGGACGACUUUACAGUUUAUGGUAAUUCAUUUGAUGAAUGUCUAAUCAACCUCACACACAUUUUAAAAUGAUGUUUAGAGUCUAAUUUAGUCUUAAAUUAUAAAAAAUGUCACUUCAUGGUGGAUCAAGGCUUAAUUUUAGGACAUAUAGUCUCUAAACGAGGAAUUGAGGUUGAUAAGGUCAAGGUUGAUGUAAUUAAGGAUUUACCAUAUCCUACGUGCAUACGAGAUAUUAGAUCUUUUCUUGGUCAUGCAGGAUUUUACAGGAGAUUUAUCAAAGACUUCUCAAGGAUUGCUCAACCAUUGUGCAAACUUUUGCAAAAGGAUGUACCAUUUAAUUUUGAUAAUGAGUGUAGAGAAGCUUUCGAUACUCUUAAAGAAAAGCUAGUUGCUGCCCCCAUUAUGCAAGUACCAAAUUGGCAUUAUCCAUUUGAAAUAAUAUGUGACGCAAGUAAUUAUGCUUUAGGGGCCGUUCUUGGUCAACGAAUUGAUAAAAAAAUCCCAUGUAAUAUGUUAUGCAUCCAUAACUUUAGAUAAGGCCCAAAGCAAUUAUACCACCACUGAAAAAGAACUCUUAGCAAUUGUCUUUGCCAUAGAAAAAUUUAGAUCAUAUUUGUUGGGUACUAAAGUAAUUGUGUUUUCUGACCAUGCAGCUUUGAGAUACCUUCUAAAGAAGAAAGAAGCGAAACCGCGACUAAUUCAUUAGAUUUUAUUGUUGCAGGAAUUUGACCUUGAAAUUAAGGAUAAAAAGGGAUCAGAAAACUUGGUGGCCGAUCACCUCAGUCGUUUAUUUCAAUCCCAAGAUGAAUUCCCUUUAAAAGAUGAAUUUCCUAACGAACAAUUAUUUUUUUCAUAGGUGACAAGCCCUUGGUAUGCAGAUUUGGUAAACUAUAUGGUGACCAAAAGUUUUCCAGUAGGAAUUUCAAAAAGCCGAAAAGAGAAAAUGAAGCAUGAUGCACGACAGUACUUUUGGGAUGAGCCGUACUUAUGGAAAUUUUGUGCUGACCAAAUAGUAAGGAGAUGUGUCCCAGAAAGUGAAAUAGAGUCUAUUCUUCGUUUCUGCCACUCAGAAGCCUGUGGAGGGCACUUUGGACCAAAGAGGACAGUAAGGAAGGUGUUAGAAUGUGGACUCUACUGGCCCAAUAUAUUCAAAGACUCUUAUAUGUUUUGUAAGGCAUGUUCCAAUUGUCAAAGAACGGUAACCUAGGAUACCGAGACCAGAUACCCCUUGCACCUAUACUGGUAAUUGAAAUUUUCGAUGUAUGGGGUAUAGAUUUUAUGGGUCCAUUUCCCUCUUCAUUUGGAAACUAAUACAUUUUGCUUGCUGUUGACUAUGUCUCAAAAUGGGUGGAGGCUAAGGCCACCAGGACUAAUAAUUCAAAAGUUGUUUCUAUUUUUUUGAAAACUCAUAUAUUUGUUAGGUUGAGAGUUCCACGACUACUAGUGAGUGAUCGAGGAACCCACUUUUGCAAUAAGGUGAUCGAAUCAUUGUUGAGAAAAUAUGGAGUGACUCAUCGUAGGUGAUCGAAUCAUUGUUGAGAAAAUAUGGAGUGACUCAUCGUACCUCUACAGUAUACCAUCCACAGACAAAUAGUCAAGCAGAGGUUUCUAACAGGGAAAUUAAAUCGAUUCUAGAGAAAACUGUCAAUAUUAAUGGGAAAGACUGGAGCAACCGCCUUGAUGAUGCGCUAUGGGCUUAUAGGACAGCCUAUAAGACCCCAAUAGGCAUGUCACCAUUCCGGCUAGUUUAUGGCAAGCCUUGCCAUUUGCCAGUUGAGCUAGAGUAUAAAGCCUUUUGGGCAAUAAAGCAAUGGAACAACAGCUUAAUAGAGGGAAGUUCUAAUCGAAAGUUGCAAUUGCAGGAACUGGAGGAAAUAAGGAAUGAAGCCUACGAGAGUGCAGAAUUUACAAAGAGAAAACCAAAACUUUUCAUGAUGAAUCAAUUUCUCGGAAAAAUUUUCAGAUGGGCCAAAAAGUUUUACUUUUUCAUUAUCGGUUAAAACUUUUUCCAGGAAAAUUGAGAACACGAUGGAUUGGUCCGUUUGUUGUAAUUAAGACUUUUAACCAUGGAGCCGUGCAAAUUCAAAGUCUUGAAACUAGUAAAAUUUUUAAAGUAAAUGGCCAUAGGCUCAAACUCUUUUAUGAGGGAUUCAAGCCCAAAGAUGAAGAAAUUAUGAUUCUGGGAGUACCACAGAUCGGAACUUAAAGAAAGAAAAGUCCAACCUAGGACAAUAAACAAGGGCCCUGCUUGAGAGGCAACCUAAGAUUACAGGCUUGCCCAAGCCUAUAGAGUCACAAGUAAGUUUUCUUUUAAUUUUUAAUUUUAAAUUAAUUUAUUUAUUAUUUUUGGAGAAAAUUGAAUCUUCUAGAUAAUUCGGGAUUUUAGGAAACUUUUUGGAAGUUAUUAUUUUUAAAAUUGCUCCCAAAGGAAGGUAGGUUUUGUUCUACUUCAUUUUAUUUUCUAAUUAAAAAAAUAAAUAAAAAAUAAAAAAAAUAAAAAAAUAAAAAAGAAAGAAAAAAUAAAUAAAUAAAAUAAUAAAAAAAUAAUAAAAAAUAAUAAUAAAAAAAAAGAAAGAGAAACCUGAUUUUUUUCUCUCCUGUCAUCUUCAUCUUCUAUCUUUUUCUUUUUUCUUUUCUUCUCUUCCCUGCAGAUGGCCCGCACCGCCUCUUCCCGUGCCGAGAGCCACGCCGCCGGCGCAACAAUCGGGAGCUGCCGCUCAUCGCGCCGCCGUCAGACCACAACGAAGAUCCUGGCGCACGCGGGGACAGGCCUCGCAGGCAGCGCAAACCAGCGGACGCGCUGGUCGCAGCUCCUUCCGCACAUUCCACCUCAUCGGUCGCAGCUCCUUUCGCGCGUUCCACCUUGUCGGUCGCAGCUCCUUCCAUGCGUUCCACCUCGCCGGUCGCAGCCUCUCCAACGCCGACACCGCCGCCGUCCACUUCCUCGCCAGAUGCAACCACGUGCCAGCGUUCACAAAUGAAAGGUAAGGUUCCUAUUUAUGACUUAAUGAGUGAUGAUGAGGAAGAAUGGGAGGUGAAACCCGAAAUCCUGAAAAUGCAACCAAGAACCAUAAAAUUAAUCGUGGAGGCUUCGGAGGACAGCAGCGAGGACACGACCUCGAGUGCUAGUGAAGAAAUCCAGGCUUAUUCUCCUCCAAAGAAAAAGCAGAAAAAAUGGAUGCCCAGGAUAACUAGUGGAAAGGCCAGAUAUCUACCUGCAGAGCAAGACCUUCAUGGCAAUUUUAGCUUUGUCGGCGAUGAUGAGAUGAGAUAUAAAAUUUUUCUCAAUUCUGAUAUUUAUGCUUGUAAGAAAAUAAAUGAUGAUACCUUGAUCCAAUUGCGAUUGUGUGAUGAAGUUUACGCUUUAAUUGAUACAAUUGGAUGGAGAAAAUUUUUUGUUAUAAAUUGCCCCUCCUAUGUUGAGCUUUGCCGUGAAUUUUAUGCAGCCUAUGAGUUUUCUUUUGAUGCACAGGAUUUUAAUUUGAAUAUUCCUACAAUUUGUUUUAGGUUGCAAAAUAAAAUGGUCCCAUGUUCAAUCACAACAUUUAAUUUGUAUUUGGGUAUUUAUGAUAAUGAAUAUGUCAAAACUGUUGAAUAUUUAGAUUUAUUAUGUGACUACCCAACGGAUUGGAAUCCAAUUUUAGCACACAAGGAGUUAACAGGGAAACCUGAGCUUAAAUUUAGGGGUGGAAAAUCUAAAGAUAAUGAUAUUCAGAGCGCUGCCAUUAGAUACCUUCACAGAUUCCUGUGUUACACAUUUUUUGAAAAAAAUAAAGAUCCACCUAAACUCACAAAAUAUGAACCUUUCUUCUUGUGGUGCAUGUUAAAAAAAGGAAAAGUUAAUUUUGGUUUUUAGUUAGCCUCACAGUUUAAAAGUAUAUCUAAUGCUGGAUGUGGUAUAUACUUGGGUUCUGUAAUUUCAAUGCUAGCAGUAGGGUUCGGUGUACUUGAUAUUAAAAACACUAAUUUACACAUAGCUGAGCCUAUUCUUCCACUUGACAUAUCUGCACUUAAUUCUAUGGGCUUACUUUGCCUCAACGAGAGGAAAGAAUUUGUGUUUUGUCCUCCAGGUCCUAUCAUUCCACCACGAUCGCGUUUAUUUCGGACAGAGGACCAGUCAACUAUGGAUGCCAAAUUGGAUGCCAUUCUCUCUCACUUGGGGUUGCCCAUACCCCAACCACCAGCAACCUGAGUUCCAGGCGACUUACUCUUAAGGGAAGUUCUCUUUGAUUUUACUUUUAUUUUAUUUUGUGAACUUCCCCAGUUGAAUUGAAUUUUUUCCACAUUGAGGAUAAUGUGAGGAGUAAGUGUGGGGGGAGAUGUGGUAUGAAAAUAAAAGUGUUUUUAUGAUUAAUGAGAUUGAUUGAUGAUUGAAGAACAUAUAUAUCUGCUGUAUUCUAAAAUUUCUAGGAAUUUUUAUUUCUUUUUUUGCCAUUUUUCUUUGAGUUUUUGAUGUUUGAGCUAGAGGUUGCCCAAGCCUAUAAACACUUAAUCUGAUUCUCAGCAGUUUCUCAACACUUGCACUUUAAAUUAUUUCUCAGAUUUAAUUUUUAUGAUUUCUAGUAUUGACAUCAUAUUCUACCAAAAAAAAUUUAAAAAAAUUAAAAUAAAAUAAAAUAAAAUAAAAUUUUUUACAGCUCCUUACUUGCCAUGAGAAAUUGGUACGUCCUUUGUCGUAGAAUUCAAGUUCUUAUGCCAUUUGUAUGCUAGCUUAAAUAGAAUAAAUUCAUCAUUGUUCAUUUUGUUAGUUUUAUUUUUAAGGCUUAUUUUGAAAAAUCAUGAAGUAUGGUUUUUAUCUAAAUAGUUGAGUAAUAAAUGCAUGUUCUUUUAAAUGAGUUGCUGCCCUUUAUUGAGAAUGAAUUAAAGGACAUUUUCUAGACUAUAUGUUUAUGUGAAAAUUAAGGAGGGUCAUCAAAGAAAAAAUAAAAAUAUAAAAAAUAAUAAAUAAAAAUAAAAAAUAAAAAAUAAAUGCACUUCUAUGACCCACUCCUCUGGUUGUUUAUCAAUUGGUUACCAACCCGAUGGCCCAAGUAGUGCGGUACUUGGUGACCCCUUAAGGUGAUUCUGUAUGGAGAAAUCGGUGUUUGGGAGAGUAUCACCCCUUUUGGGCUGUUUAAAAACUCGUCCAUAUCUUUUUAUUGGAUAAUUAUGAGUAGAGCUAGUAGCCACCUGAGCUGAAUAACCUGGGACAAGUGGCUCAAUAACCAUUUGUUUCACGUUCACUUUAUCGGUUUCCGGCAAAAUAUAGUAGGAAGUGUAAAUAAUAAAUAAUAACCCCAAAGUCUUUAAAUUUUAUUGGUCUAGUCAAGAGUUCUUAAGAUUCUACUCUUUCAAAAGCGCAGUUUAAUAUUAUAUGACAUUCUAAUAUUUUUGUGCUUGAAAUUGAAUUGAGGACUAACUUUAUGUCUUGAGAAACACAUUUUAAAUAUGAAACUUGUUAAGGUUAACUUUGGUGAAAUUAAGCUAUUUCUGCUAUCAUCCUAUUUCAUGACAGUUUGGUUCUUUGUUUUGGACAAAUUAAAUUUCAGAUUGGUUGAGGACAGGGCUGAGUUUUAUUGUUUCAUUUCUAUGCUUGAGGAAUCUGAUGAGUUGCAAAACUCACAAUUUUAUUCCCAUUUAAUUCCAUGAUUUUACUAUAAUUUUGAGAUAAAUAUUUAAUUUUAAUUUGAAUUUAAUUUUGGAUAGGUUUGUGAGCAGAAGUUGAGAAAAGGAACGGAAAAAGGCUGAAUUAAAGGAUUUUUUUAUAAUGGGAGGCUACAACCUUGAUCAAACCUGUAAUCCAAGGCGAUGGGAAGAUAAGAUAGAUUUUGCCGCCUAAGCAAGGAUAAGAUCAACUUCAAGUGGAAUCAAAUUGAAUCAAACUCAAUCAGAUGAGGAUAAAGAUAAGAUUAAGAUAGAGAUAGAUAGAAAUAAUAGAUUUUAUUUUAAAUUUUAUCUUUUUGUGCCUAUAUAAAGUCUCAUAGCAUUAAACCUAUGGAUCAUAUUCUACCUCUCAUCUCAUUUCCUCUCUUGCUGUCCUCAUUUCUUCUCCAUCUUAUUUUCUUUUUCUUCUUCUUUUGCUUAGUUUUUAUAAUAUUAUUAUGGCCAUGAGUGGCUAAAUAAUUAUUUUUCAGUUGAAUAUUAAAUUAAAUUGAGAUUUGUUCAAAUUGUG